GACCCCGUAGCUCAGUGGUAGAGCGUGAGAUUCCAGAGAUCAUAGCGAUUCCUCAAGGUCAUCCGUUCAAUCCGGGUCGGGGUCA